rnacentral:rRNA from 1 species
UACGAGGGGAGCAAGCGUUGUUCGGAUUUACUGGGCGUAAAGGGUGCGUAGGCGGCGCGGUAAGUCGGGUGUGAAAUCUCGGGGCUUAACUCCGAAACUGCAUUCGAUACUGCCGUGCUCGAGGACUGGAGAGGAGACUGGAAUUUACGGUGUAGCGGUGAAAUGCGUAGAUAUCGUGAGGAACACCAGAGGCGAAGGCGGUUACCUGGACAGUUACUGACGCUCAGGCACGAAAGCAUGGGGAGCAAAAGGG